GAGGUCCAGCUUCUUCACAUCAUUGGACUCCAUUUCCAGCGACUCAAAGAAAAGCUCAAGGUUAUCGUCCAGGACUCAAAACAACGGAGGUGUCCAAAUAAACAAGGUGCAGACAGCUGUGGAUUAAUGGUGCAAACCUACAUCAACUGUAAGACCUGCUCCGAGGAGAAGGUUGUCUGCGCCGGGGGCCCUCCAAAAAAUCAAG